UACGUAGGGUGCGAGCGUUGUCCGGAAUUAUUGGGCGUAAAGAGCUCGUAGGCGGUCUGUCGCGUCGAAUGUGAAAACCCGGGGCUCAACUCCGGGCUUGCAUUCGAUACGGGCAGGCUAGAGUUCGGUAGGGGAGUCUGGAAUUCCUGGUGUAGCGGUGAAAUGCGCAGAUAUCAGGAGGAACACCGGUGGCGAAGGCGGCUCACUGGCUCGAUACUGACGCUGAGGUGCGAAAGCGUGGGGAGCAAACAGG
rnacentral:rRNA from 1 species